rnacentral:rRNA from 1 species
UACGUAGGGUGCGAGCGUUGUCCGGAAUUAUUGGGCGUAAAGAGCUCGUAGGCGGUGUGUCACGUCGGCCGUGAAAACCUGCAGCUUAACUGUGGGCGUGCGGUCGAUACGGGCAUCACUGGAGUUCGGCAGGGGAGACUGGAAUUCCUGGUGUAGCGGUGAAAUGCGCAGAUAUCAUAAGGAAGACCAGUGGCGAAGGCGGGUCUCUGGACAGUUCCUGACGCUGAGGCACGAAGGCCAGGGGAGCAAACGGG